rnacentral:rRNA from 1 species
UACAGAGGUCCCAAGCGUUGUUCGGAAUCACUGGGCUUAAAGGGUGCGUAGGCGGCGCGGAAAGUUGGGUGUGAAAUCCCUCGGCUCAACCGAGGAACUGCGCCCAAAACUACCGUGCUCGAGGGAGAUAGAGGUGAGCGGAACUUAGGGUGGAGCGGUGAAAUGCGUUGAUAUCCUAAGGAACACCGGUGGCGAAAGCGGCUCACUGGAUCUUUUCUGACGCUGAGGCACGAAAGCUAGGGUAGCGAACGGG